UACGUAGGGUGCAAGCGUUAAUCGGAAUUACUGGGCGUAAAGCGUGCGCAGGCGGUUAUGUAAGACAGUUGUGAAAUCCCCGGGCUCAACCUGGGGAAUUGCAUCUGUGACUGCAUAGCUAGAGUACGGUAGAGGGGAUGGAAUUCCGCGUGUAGGCAGUGAAAUGCGCAGAUAUCAGGAGGAGCCAGCGUAGUGGAGCGGAAGGCAGGUCGUCCU
rnacentral:rRNA from 1 species